AAAUUCCCGUCCUGGAAAGAGUGAAGCCCGCUCACCAGGAAUCGAGUCUUGGGCUUAUGGAGGUAACCACAUGAGUUAAGCGUAGAUAGAACGACAUUCAGGCCGUAACGCAAGUGAAGCAACUCAGCUCCAUGAAGCGCUAUAGUCCGAGGGCCGACAGGGUCUCUAACCUGGAAGGCUACAACAGGCAACCAAUAGUAGGGCAAUGGGUGCCGGAGACCUCGGCGGGGUCUAUGAGUA
rfam:Alphaproteobacteria bacterium 41-28 SCNpilot_cont_1000_p_scaffold_7308, whole genome shotgun sequence.